AUUGAACGCUGGCGGCAGGCCUAACACAUGCAAGUCGAGCGGAUGAAGGGAGCUUGCUCCUGGAUUCAGCGGCGGACGGGUGAGUAAUGCCUAGGAAUCUGCCUGGUAGUGGGGGAUAACGUCCGGAAACGGGCGCUAAUACCGCAUACGUCCUGAGGGAGAAAGUGGGGGAUCUUCGGACCUCACGCUAUCAGAUGAGCCUAGGUCGGAUUAGCUAGUUGGUGGGGUAAAGGCCUACCAAGGCGACGAUCCGUAACUGGUCUGAGAGGAUGAUCAGUCACACUGGAACUGAGACACGGUCCAGACUCCUACGGGAGGCAGUAGUGGGGAAUAUUGGACAGUGGGCGAAAGCCUGAUCCAGCCAUGCCGCGUGUGUGAAGAAGGUCUUCGGAUUGUAAAGCACUUUAAGUUGGGAGGAAGGGCAGUAAGUUAAUACCUUGCUGUUUUGACGUUACCAACAGAAUAAGCACCGGCUAACUUCGU
rnacentral:rRNA from 1 species